ACAGCAGCAGCCGCGGGAAUACGAAGGGGGCUAGCGUUGUUCGGAAUUACUGGGCGUAAAGCGCACGUAGGCGGAUAUUUAAGUCAGGGGUGAAAUCCCGCAGCUCAACUGCGGAACUGCCUUUGAUACUGGGUAUCUUGAGUAUGGAAGAGGUUAGUGGAAUUGCGAGUGUAGAGGUGAAAUUCGUAGAUAUUCGCAGGAACACCAGUGGCGAAGGCGGCUAACUGGUCCAUAACUGACGCUGAGGUGCGAAAGCGUGGGGAGCAAACAGGAUUAGAUACCCCUGUAGUCCCUGUCUCUUAUAC
rnacentral:rRNA from 1 species